GGGUGCGAUCAUACUAGUACUAAUACACCGGAUCCCAUCAGAAUUCCAUAAUUAAGCAUACUUGGGUGAGAGUAGUACUAAGAUGGGUGACCUUAUGGGAAGUCCUCGUGUUGCAUCCU